rnacentral:misc_RNA from 1 species
GGAGUUCCGACAGCCGUAAUGUUGCGAUCUCUUUGUGAAACGGGCCAAGUCAAUACUAAUAGUUACAAGGCCACACGUAAUAACAUGGACGUGCGCAUAGUACGUCACACGAAGGGCCAUCUCCCUGGAGAGUUGUGAGGUACACAGACUUUGACUGCUACGGAGACCGCUGCACCCUCGGGGUGGACUACUGCGACGAGGGUGCUGGACGUUGCGUACCCUGUAGUCAGAAUCUGGAUCUCUGCGGUGCAGUCAAAAUACACAGUGCCUGUCAUCUCUUCUGUUUGAAUUUGACGGAGCAAGAGCCAAGUACCGUUGACUCAACCAUUAAUGUGACAGAAGCUCCCGCUAGGCCCCAUGCUACUACAUGUCGAAAGCGAACUCAUGCUGAGCAAGGCGAGGAACCCACGUUGAUUCUACUGGUGACAGUGUUCAGCGUGAUGCUGGUAAUAAAUCUCUGUGUUUUCUUUGGCACCAUCGCACUCCAAUAUCUGAGGAAUGGACCCUGCAAAUACCAACCGUCGAUUUAUCACUUUUAAAAAAAACAUUGAGGGUAUCAAAUGGAGAGAGUCCGCGUAAAAGAAGAAUUCAUCACUCGGACCAAUCGUCCUGCCUUGAACAAAUGGAUGUUGGUAUCGGAUGUGCACUUUAAUAUCUGUUCCGAAUAAUAUGGGGGCGGUGGGGUGGCCUAGUGGUUAAAGUGUUCGUUCGUCACGCCGAAGAGCUGGUUCGAUUCCAAACAUAGGUACAAUGUGCGAAGCCCAUUUCUGGGCCCUGUUCCACAGAGCGAUCUUAGCAGUAAGAUGAUCGUAACUCCAAUACUUUAACAUAGGCUUACGACAGUCGUAGCGCUAAGAUCGCUUUGUUGAACGGGUCCCUGGUCUUAUUAUGUCAGCUAUUGUUUUUUACGCUGGGCCAGCUUGAUGUGGGAGGAACGCCCGAAGUGAAGCAGAUCAUAUACGUUUACCGUGAAUAUGGAAUAUUGUUGACGAACGAAGGAUCGGAACUGGUAUUCGAACCCAUGGUUCUAGGAUCCUGGCGUGCCUAAGAGACGCAACUCUCUGGAAUGAAAUGCAUAUUUGAAAGAUAGUUAUCAAAUGAUCUCAAUAAAGAUUUGCAAUUA